rnacentral:RNase_MRP_RNA from 13 species
CUUGGGGAAAUUCCCCGGACGCAAUGGCAGAGAGUGUCAUCCCGGAAACGGGUACCUGCGAAUUUCGACGGGGCCUCAUUUCGGCGACGAUAUGAGCCAUUUUGGAAUGUGGGCCCUAUUCGCAGCCGUCCAAGCAAAGUUAUGCGUUUUCAUUUGCCUUUUUCGAAAGAAAGAAUGAGACACACAACGGGGAUUACG